GAUGAACGCUAGCUACAGGCUUAACACAUGCAAGUCGAGGGGUAACGAGAGGGAAGCUUGCUUUCCUUGUCGACGACCGGCGCACGGGUGAGUAACGCGUAUCCAACCUGCCCCCAACUAGGGAAUAACCUUGCGAAAGUAAGACUAAUACCCUAUAAUUUCCUCAGAUGUCAUCUGACGAGGAAUAAAGAUUUAUCGGUUGUGGAUGGGGAUGCGUCUGAUUAGCUUGUUGGCGGGGUAACGGCCCACCAAGGCAACGAUCAGUAGGGGUUUUGAGAGGAAGGUCCCCCACAUUGGAACUGAGACACGGUCCAAACUCCUACGGGAGGCAGCAGUGAGGAAUAUUGGUCAAUAGGCGGAAGCCUGAACCAGCCAAGUAGCGUGCAGGAUGACGGCCCUAUGGGUUGUAAACUGCUUUUAUACAGGAAUAAAGUUAGCCACGUGUGGUUAUUUGUAGGUACUGUAUGAAUAAGGACCGGCUAAUUCCGUGCCAGCCGCCGCCGUAA
rnacentral:rRNA from 1 species